GCAGUGGCCUAGAGGUGGAGCUCUCACCUCACAAUCAGAAGGCUGUGAGUUCGAUCCUAGGUAGAGGCAGAUAUUUGUCUCUCAGGGCACAAUGAGAAUAUAUCUGCUAAACAAAGCUCCGCACUGGCAACAGGAGGGGCAUCUGGCCAUUAAACACUCUGCUAGCUCUAUUCAGUUGUCCAGACUCCACCCAGCAAUGGGAUUAUGGGGUUGUUAAAAGAAGAAGAAGAAAGGUUUCUAAAAUUUAUACU